UACAGAGACUGCAAGCGUUAUUCGGAUUCACUGGGCGUAAAGGGUGCGCAGGCGGUUGGGGGUGUCAGAUGGGAAAUCCCGAGGCUCAACCUCGGAACUGCGUCUGAAACUACUCGACUAGAGUACUGGAGAGGGUAACGGAAUUCACGGUGUAGCAGUGAAAUGCGUAGAUAUCGUGAGGAACACCAGAGGCGAAGGCGGUUACCUGGACAGUUACUGACGCUCAGGCACGAAAGCAUGGGGAGCAAAAGGG
rnacentral:rRNA from 1 species